CCGGGGAGUCGGCCUCGGGGCUCUGCUCUCCUACCUCAGUCUGCCCUACCCUGGAAUGGGGAAAAUGCGGACAUGCCACUCAGUCCGGCCGCGAACAGUGCUCCAGAACUCAGAGAGUUUUCCAGACGGGUGGAGAUCGCGUUCCCUGCCCGCCGAGGUCCCAUCGCUUCCCUGCUGGGAAGACAAAUGAGGCGCUUUAGCCGUCUCCACGGCCAGCCCCUCCCUCAUAACCCGAGAUUCUUUGUGGGCUCUUAGUCCAUAGCUGCCUUUGAGGUGGUGUAGACCUUGCUAACCAGGACGGCCCAGUAGGCAGAGCUCAUUUUUAUUCCUGUCUGCAAUCGUGCAAAAACGCCUCUUAUGGAAAAGCCAGAGCGCCAGGAGUCAGCAAAACACACUAAAGAUUGGGCAGUCACUGGGGAGAACUGCAAUUAACCUUUAAGAUACUACGUGUCAGGCCUCUGAGCCCAAACUAAGCCAUCAUAUCCCCUGUGACCUGCAUGUAUACAUACAGAUGGCCUGAAGCAACUGAAGAUCCACAAAAGAAGUGAAAAUAGCCUUAACUGAUGACAUUCCACCAUUGAGAUUUGUUCCUGCCCCACCCUAACUGAUACGAUAUAUUCUCCCCCGCCCUUAAGAAGACUCAGCCCGCCUGCACCCAGGUGAAAUAUACAGCCUUGUUGCUCACACAAAGCCUGUUUGGUGGUUUCUUCACACGGAUGCAUGUGACAUUUGGUGCUGAAGACCCAGGACAGGAGGACUCCUUUGGGAGACCAGUGCCCUGUUGUCGCCCUCACUCCGUGAGGAGAUCCACCUAUGAUCUCAGGUCCUCAGACCAACCAGCCCAAGGAACAUCUUGCCAAUUUCAAAUCGGGUUGUCAGAAUCUGCAGAGAAGCUUCCUCCAAUCUCCAGCCUGAGAGUUCAGGCCUGGUUACCAGCAUUCUAGAAGCUGAAAGAGGAGAAGUUCUUGGAAGACUAAGAAGUCCAACAUUCGGU
rnacentral:lncRNA from 10 species